CCCCCCCUCCUUUGUCUCAUAUUCUCAGAUUUCUCCUGUUGUAAGCUGGAAGCAAACAGAACAGUUGUUGGGAAUCCGGGCAUAAUCAAGAAGAUGCAACUCUGAAAAGGAUGCAGAAGCUUCCAUUGAUUUCUUUGAAAAGUACAAGGUUUUUCAGACAUUGAUUCUGGUGUCCCCUCAAUGUCACGAGAAGGGAAUUAUAUUAAGGAGUAAAAGACAAAAGGGUGACUUUUUAAUGACACAAAGGAAUAAUAUUGUUACUUGGAUUCAAAGUACUCGAUUGUCUUGGUCUUGUCCUUUUUAAAUUGAUUGAAAGCAGUAGCAGCAGUGACACG